GACGAACGCUGGCGGCGUGCCUAAUACAUGCAAGUAGAACGCUGAAGGAGGAGCUUGCUUCUCUGGAUGAGUUGCGAACGGGUGAGUAACGCGUAGGUAACCUGCCUGGUAGCGGGGGAUAACUAUUGGAAACGAUAGCUAAUACCGCAUAAUAGCAGUUGUUGCAUGAUAACUGUUUGAAAGGUGCAAUUGCACCACUACCAGAUGGACCUGCGUUGUAUUAGCUAGUUGGUGGGGUACCGGCUCACCAAGGCGACGAUACAUAGCCGACCUGAGAGGGUGAUCGGCCACACUGGGACUGAGACACGGCCCAGACUCCUACGGGAGGCAGCAGUAGGGAAUCUUCGGCAAUGGACGGAAGUCUGACCGAGCAACGCCGCGUGAGUGAAGAAGGUUUUCGGAUCGUAAAGCUCUGUUGUAAGAGAAGAACGAGUGUGAGAGUGGAAAGUUCACACUGUGACGGUAUCUUACCAGAAAGGGACGGCUAACUACGUG
rnacentral:rRNA from 1 species